CUGUGGCUUCAGCUUGCUUCUGUUUUUUGGGUUGAGCUAAGCUACUCCAUAAACAUAGGCUAGCUAGCAUAAUGACCUAUUGACAUGUCAGGGACAUCACCUGAUGUGCAAAUAUUUCCCCUGCUACUACAACUAAGGCAACCUGAAGGCACUACCACCAGCUUCACUACCACCCCAUAUAGUCCACUCGAGCAUGUGGUUACCUAUCAUUUAGCCUCAGUUCCAUGCUUCCUGCAUGCAUGUUAAUGCGGACGAGACUUAGGAGAAUGGUAACGCGAGACUACCAAUCAUUAAGCACUGAAAGAAUCAACUCUAUUGAUUAUCUGAACAGUCACAUAGUUUGAAGGACUGCGUGAGCUAGACUGCAUAACACCUCCAUCAAAAGUUCCCUUAGAGAGAGAGAAGCAGAAACAUGGAAAUCGACCGUCCAAGAUCGGUUACAGCUUAAUCGCAUUUCUAGAAGAAAACUGAGCAGGUCAGCCACCAGAGGGAGACUCAUCGAGGCCUGGUUACAGACGGAGUAUACAUCACGAGGCGAUGGCUCCCUCUGCUGGACGUGCCAGGUUUAGACGGGCUCUCCGGCCAGGACUAAUUGGGGCUGAUUGUGGUUUGUGAGUAAAUCAAGGGCUGAUUGCUCACCAGCUGGACGGGUCCCAUAAAGCUGCCAGAAGGGCAGCACACGGAAGAAGGGACUGGGGGAAGAAAGGUUAUUCCCGUAUAGUUGGGGACUGUUCCAGAGGUAAAAGGAGGGAGUUCAGUUUUGUGUACCCCACAGGAUACAGCAAGACCCAGAGCCCAGAAGACGGUAUACCGGAGAGGGUUUCAUGGGGGAGACCUAUUAUUUUCUUUUGGUUUAUUAUUUAAAUAAACACUCUUGAAACCGAGCU